rnacentral:tRNA from 1 species
UGGCUCAGUUGGUAGAGCAAGGUGUUUGCAACGCCAGGGUUGUGGGUUUGAUUCCCAC